GGCCACAACGUGGAAUUCUCACCACUAAACUACAGCCACUUUGUUGGUACGUAUUACACUUUAAUAUCAUAGAAUAUGUCCUACUCCUGAGACUACUAAAAGGGAUCGUUGCCUGGUCGUCGGUGACUUCGAUUGCUCUGACCACCAGAUUAAGCGUACGUGUCCUUGUUCAACCAGAGCAUGCAGAAUGGACUAGUAAUUGCUUUGAAAUUGCAAAUACAUAAUUAUCAGCCUACCAAGUUCCUGUAAGCAUACAAGAUCGAUAUGAAGCCGCAUAGCCUCAAAACAGAUAUGCAAUAACUUUUUUUGCAAAGAGUAGAAUGCACUGGUGAUAGUUAACCUUUGCAAGGAGGAACACUUUAGUCCAUAACACACGCAAGUAGCAAAAUCAAACCACUAUUAUGACAUUCAAAAAUCCUCCAGUAUAUACAUGAAUUGCUCUUUCCCCAACAUAGGUGGCACAGGCGGCAACCGACCUACUCCGUCUCAGCAAGACUUAAACAUCCAAGACUUCAGUCCGAAGCUGCCCCUCUGCCUCAGCAUCGGGAGGUGGGCAGGGCAGGUGGCUCUCUGCCUCAGCAUCGGGAGGUGGACAGGUGGCGGGAGACCCAAGACUUCAGUCCGAAGCUGCCCCAAGACGUCAGAUUUCGGCUAGAGCAGCGGGAGGUUUCAGGUAGAGCAGCGGCAGCGGCAACAACAUGCUGUGAAAAGAGAAGGAAAAUGAUGGGUAGAUUUCGUUCAGUUGGUAGGUCCUAGGUUCUGGCACUAGCCAAGGGGCGGCCGCAGUGCUAGAAAAGCGUUCUAGUUCUAGUUUAGACAAGCCUACGCAUGCAUCUCCCAGAUAC
rnacentral:lncRNA from 1 species